rfam:Schistosoma mattheei strain Denwood, Zambia genome assembly, scaffold: SMTD_scaffold0006508
AUUUAGUUGACGUGUCCCAGAUAAGACGAAACGCGCUUCCUAAAU